AUUACCUCAAUUACCACUAAACUCCAAGGUCAUCAAACUUAUAGGAAAAUGAAAAAUAAUUUUCGUGUGCAACAUGGUUGUUAAGAAGUGAGGGAUAUGGUAGUUAAAAAGUAAGAGACUUAGAGACAGAUGGUGAAAAUUUAUUUAUCUAUGUUCAUCAACUAUAUUUCGAUGAUCAUUUUGGGGAAAAAAAAUCAUUUUUCUUUUGGCAAUCAAUUUAUAAAUGGUUUAUGAAUUCAUUAAAGUAAAAUAUUAAUUUUCAAUCAAAUAUUCAUAAUUACUACUCAUUUAUCAUCCACACUUUUUAGGAUCCACUACUAUCUCUCUUAUUCUAAUCUUUGUAAAUGAUUUACACAUUUAUCCAUUCGAGGUAAAUGAAGAUGUAAAAAUGACAGAGAUGGAAGAAUGUUAAAGAAAAACUUAGGCACCAAAGGUCUAAUGACGUUCAACAUGAUAUUAGAGUAAUAGGAUUCUGAUUCAAGACAAGUCAUCAAUGAAAUUCUAUACCCAUUAGAUGUUAAUGGGAAAAAAUAUAGCUCAUCAGCUCACCUUCACGUGAGUGUGUUAAUUACAAGAUUGGACCAAAUGGUUCGAAAAUUCACGUUAAGCUUCUUGAAGAAGAAAAUGGUCCACCAAAUAUUUUGGUGAUGAGAGAAUAGUGGGCAAAAUGGCGAUCUGGAUACAAGGGGAAUAAGUGUAUCAAGAAAAG
rnacentral:lncRNA from 1 species